ACUCCACUGGCCUAAUGGAUAAGGCAUCUGCCUCCUAAGCAGAAGAUUCUGAGUUCGAGUCCCAGGUGGGGUA
rnacentral:tRNA from 1 species